GUCGAGUUACCAGAGUGGUUAAUGGGUAUGACUCGAACUUGCAAAGAUAUCAUAUGGCUUCGGCCGCGCAGGUUCAAAUCCUGCACUCGACG
rnacentral:tRNA from 2 species